CAAUAGCGUAUAUUAAAGUUGUUGCAGUUAAAAAGCUCGUAGUUGGAUUUCUGGGAGGGUGCCGAUGUCCGCUUAACGUGUGUGCAGCGGCGCCCUCUCAUCCUUCUGUUAGCGUCUCUUGGCAUUCAUUUGCUGGUGGCGGGCUCAGAUAUUUUACCUUGAGAAAAUUAGAGUGUUUCAGGCAGGCUAGGCCGGAAUACAUUAGCAUGGAAUAAUGGAAUAGGACUACGGUCUCUUUGUUGGUUUGAGGGACUGCAGUAAUGAUUAAGAGGAACAGUUGGGGGCGAUUCGUAUUUCAUUGUCGGAGGUGAAAUUCUUGGAUUUAUUGAAAGACGAACUUCUGCGAAAGCAUUUGUCCAAGGAUGUUUUCUAUUAAUUCAAGAACGAAAGUUAGGGGGCGUCGAAGACGAUCAGAUACCAU
rnacentral:rRNA from 1 species